ACACAAAAUCGCUCUAAACAAUUUUCCUGAUGGCUGUUCGGCCCCUUGUCCAUUAUUCGCUGGUGAAGCAAAGCCUACCGCCAGGGCCCAGUUUUCCUUUUCCAUGGGCACGAGAUUUCCAUCAAUCCAUCGUGCAAUUUCCUUGAGUUUUAUCCUCGCCAUCACCUUUCCCCGCCUCAACGCCACAUGUCACAGGACGAGGGUGGUGAUUAUGAUUCUUCCAACAAUCAAAUAUUGCAAGAUCUAAAACUAAAAUAAAGAAAUGAGAAAAGACGAUAAAGAUUUGAAGGAAAAAAGAAGAUAAAAAUAGGAAUUGCCGUUUUCUUUUGGUGGAGAAAGAAAAGCCAAAGCAUUUAAAAGUUGGAAAAAAAAAAAAGCGAAGAAAAAGAGCAGAGACGGAAAGUGAUGGCCUGGAGAAGAAACGAUGAAGAAGACUUAUUAGUUCU
rnacentral:lncRNA from 1 species